AGCCAUGUUCCUGUAUAGCAUGUGGAACUGUGAGUCAAUUAAAUCUGUUUUGUUUAUUUCUCUUUUUUUUUUUUCUGAGACAGAGCCUAGCUCUGUUGCCCAUGCUUGAGUGCAGUGGCAUGAUCUCAAUUCACUGCAGCCUCUGCCUCCUGGGUUCAAACGAUUCUCAUGCCUCAGCCUCUCGAGUAGCUGGGAUUACAGGCAUGUGUUACCAUGCCCAGCUAAGUUUUGUAUUUUUUGUAGAGCUGGGGUUUCUACAUGAAUGUUGGCCAGGCUGGCCUCAAACUCCUGGCCUCAAGUGAUCUGCCCACCUCUGUCUCCCAAAAUGCUGGGAUUAUAGGUGUGAGCCACUGCGCCCAGCCUUUAAACCUCUUUUCUUGAUAAAUUACCCAGUCUCAGGUAAUUCUUUAUAGCAGUGAGAGAACAGUUCCCUUAGAGUUUGUGUCUUUAGGAAACCUCCUGGCUGGCCUGCCUUUUAAUCAGGCUCAGGCUGCAGAGUGGUGUUAGCGGGAACAGAGCUAGAUGUUGGGGCUUAAGGUAGGUCCACACCUUACUGAUGUGAUUGUUUCUUUUCUGUGUCCUUCCCCUCCUCAGACACCUCUGGCAGCUGCCUACUGCCUGCAGAAUAAAGUCCUAGUCCCUUAACUUUCCAGGCCCUUCUAACCUGGUAUCAGCAUAACAUCAAUCUCCUACUUAUCCUCUUGAGCGCCUGGAGGUUAAAGACCUGCUGCCCUACUUGCCUCGAUGUUCUCUGCUCACUCUGGAGCCGUUCCCAGCCCUGUUGAGCCCAUUCUCCUCACCUGGACCACUGUGGUGUCCUGCCUCCUGGAACCUGCACUGCUUGCCUGAGGGCUUUCUGAGCUUGCCAGGGCCCGUGUUGCCCACCAGGCUUGAGAAAAUGAGCACGUCUCCCUACCACCACCAUAGUCCUCAAUCAAUAACUGAGGAGGGUUGAUGGUAAAUACCGCAGUUCCUUCGCCCUUUCAUGAGACAAAUCUGAGGCUGUGCACCACACUGGCUCCAGAGUUCUCCAGGGAGAUUGAUAUGGUUUGGCUCUGUGUCCCUACCCAAAUCUCAUCUCAGAUUGUAUGGAGUUGAGUUGGACAUGGUGGCUCAUGCCUCUAAUCCCAGCACUUUGGGAGGCCGAGGCGGGCGGAUCACCUGAGGUCAGGAGCUUGAGAACAGCCUGGCCAACAUGGUGAAAUCCCGUCUCUACUAAAAAUACAAAAAAUUAGCCAGGCGUGGUAGCACACACCUGUAGUCCCAGCUACUCAGGAGGCUGAGGCAGGAGAAUCGCUUGAACCUGGGAGGCGGAGGUUGAAGUAAGCCGAGAUCCCACCACUGCACUCCAACCCAGGCAACAGAGCAAGACUCUGUCUCAAAAAAAAAAAAAAAAAAAAAAAAAAGAAAGGACUGCAGUUGGAACAUGGUAGAGGUAACAGCUGAGUUUAUGAAGACAAGACCUCAGUGUGCGUGCAGAGUGGCUGAUGCUGAUGCCUGCCUACAUGCCAUGCCUGGUUGCGUGGGUCACUUCUCCCUUUGUCAUUUUGGACCGACUCUAUCUAAUGGAGCAUAAGGGCCUAGUCUGGUGCCCACUGUGCCUUAGGGCUCAGGAGCUUUCAUCAGGUGACAGCCCCUAACCAAGUCACUUUCUGCCGGGUGUCUGUCACAUCACCCUGUUGGUCUGGAGGCAUGGCCCUUCUCACAAGCUGUAUUGCUUUUUAUUCUGCUUUUUAAUUUGCUUACUUUAUAGCCUGUCUACUCCACAUGACAAUAAGCUGCAGGAGAGCAGGGGCCUGUCUACAGUGGUUUUGCUGCAUCCUUAGCACCUACUAUGGCACCUGGUAAGUAGCAAGCCUUCAAACAUAUCUGCUAUCUGGAGAAUGGCCAAGGGAACUGGAGCCUUCCAGCUUAUGAGAGGAGCCGAGCUGGAUCCUCUUUUCGUGACCUGGUGCAUCUGCCCAGAGCAUGGUUCUGUGUCAGUAGACACCUUGCCUAGGUCACAUGCAAGUGAGUGGCAAAGGGCAGUUUCUACCUGGGGUCUUUAUGUCCAGAAGUGGCUUUCUGGAAAGUGCCCCCAGAUUUCAUCUUUGUCAAUCCCAGGGCCCGACUCUUGGGUUCCUAGUUGAAAAACAACAGCUGUGAAUAUUAAAUGAGGCACAUGCACUGAGAUUCUUCGAUCAGUGGUACGUGUAUAAAUUUCAAUAAUAAUGGGGUUGCAUUCAUCAGACCCAUCAAUCAUUACUGCCUAUGCUGCUGAGACAUUGCUCAAUGUCAGACACAUACUUCGCAGACAUAGUCUCUGGAAUCCAGCUGCAUGGCCAGAGGCCCAUGGCCCCCACCGUGGGCAGUCCCUUUCCCCUGCCAGGCCUCAGUCUCCCUUCCUUCAGUAGGGAGGGGAAUUUGCGGUGGAUAGCUUUGCUCAGACUGUCCAGGUUUCAGAACUCUGAGUGCUAAGAUGGCGCAUGAGGAAACGUCAUUUCUUCGCUCUCUGUGCAUCUGGUGCCUGCACAACUGCCUGCGUGUCUAAUGAUGUCUCACUUUUCCUAAAAGUCCCUGCAAUGGUUCCCUUGUGCCUGGAGAAUGAAACUUCUACUCAUCAUAGAGCGCUUAAGACCUUGCUUGAUCUGGUUGCCAAAUCUCCCCUUCUCACUCACUUUGUGGCCAGCCAGGUGGGAGCCAGGUGAUAACAAGGGAGAAGGAGGAUAUUUCAGGUUGUAGACCUAGCAGGCCAGAGUGACUGGCAUGCAAGAGAGGAUAAUGAGGGUGGAGGUCAGGGAGGGAGAAUCUCAUGGCUUGGCAUUUUAGGAAUUCAGCACAUUAGAAUCACAGGACUGGGCGAAUGCUGGCCUCAUGGCCACCUCUGAGAUUUUAUAUGAACAUUCACUGGUCAUUUAUUCUGUGCCAGGCUCUUGGCCCAGGCACUAGGAAGGAACACCGAAGGCAUUAUAAACAUUGAACUACAAUAAAAGGCAAAAUAACUGUGUGCCAAGAAGAAAGAUGGGAGCUAACAUUUGUUGGGCACACUGUGUGUGCCAGACACUUUGCAUUCAUUUCUGUUGUGGUGGAUUGUGUUUCCGAAGAUGCCUGUGACACUAUCCCAUCCCAUCUGCUCUUUUGCAAUGUGACCAUACCACUUUCCAUCAAAAGCUGGUAUAUAUUUCUCGUCCCCUUGAAUCUGGGUUGACUGUACAACUUCUAAGACUGGGCCUCAAGACACUGACAGCAUGUCUACUUUCCUGCUCUAAGUGCUCUUUCUUGACCACCAGAGACCAUGCUGUGAGGAAGCCCAAGCUAUCAUGAGGCCAGAGGGGAUGUAGUAGAGCCCCAGUCUAUCAGUUUUGUGAGUGAAGCUAUCUUGGUUGGACCAUCCACCAGCCAGGAGAAUGACCCCAGGAGAUACCUUGAGGACCAGAAUCUCCAAGGCCUGAAUCUCGAACUCACAGAAUUAUGAACACAUAAAAUGGUUAUUUUAUAAGCCAAUAAGUUGGGGCAGUUUGCUAGGCUGCAAUAAAGAACCAAAAUACCUCUUUAAUUCUCCUACAUAGCCCCGAGAGGCAGGUGCUGUUAUCUCUAUAGGUAAGGAAACAGGAUUGGAUAGGUUAAAUGGCUAGUUCAACAUCAUAUGGGAAGUCAAUGGCUGAAGUGGAUUCAAACCCAGGCCUCCGGCUGGGUGCAAUGGCUCACGCCUGUAAUCCCAGCACUUUGGGAGCCUGAGGCAGGAGGAUCACCUAAACCCAGGAGUUCGAGACCAGCCUGGGCAACAUGGCGAGGCCUAUCUCUAUUGAAAAAAAAAAAAAUCAAACCCAGCCCUCUGUGACCCCAAGACUUUGCCAGUUCCCUCAGUCAUGGUACUGUUAGAGGGCAGGAGUGGAGCCUUUGAUUCUGCUGAGGCCCUCCCUCUGGGGAUGGCAUCUACAGCAGGAAAUAGUAGAAGUCUUCUCUGCAUUCUUUUGUACCUUCUAUGUUUGGAAUCUAUUGCCUAUUCCAAAAUGAACAAAUAAAGGUAACAUUCUUAUUUUCAAGAAAAUAAUUGUGGUAUGUGUGUAGGUCAGGGUGGGAGUGGAUGAAAUGAAAGGCUGCUUCACAGAACAGCAGCAUUUGGGCUAGGCUUGGAAUUCAGUGGUUCCCACCCCGGUCAUACUCUGGAAUCACCCGCAGAGCUUUAGAAGUCCCGAUGCCUGGGUCCCGCCCAGAGGUGCUGUUUUGAUUGGCCUGGGGCAGGGCGUGGGCUUCAGGACUUUUAAAAAGCCCCCUAGGUGGUUCAAAUGCCCAGCUAAGGUGGAGAGCCAGCGCUCGAUGGGGGACCAGGAUUCCGCUGGCAGUGGAAGGCUGGAGAGACGGAGUGGGCUGUGCUCCAGGAGCAGCGUGAGCCAAGGCAGGGCUGAAGCCGAUGAUUUGUAUGGAAAAACCUGAAAAAGAAUUGCUUUGGGGGUGUAGAUGCUUAAACUAAGCAAAACAAAACAGAACAAAACAAAAAGGGGUGGCCCUGCCUUCUGUGCCCUGGUGUGCUUAUUGAAUUGGUUCACAGAAAUGCUCAAUCCUCAUGGCCAGGUUGCUCAAUCUCAGAAGGAAUUCAUUUGAGGGAUGGUAAUAAUUAGGUCUGCUUACAGGGAGAAAUGCUAUGCAGUGCAAAAUCC
rnacentral:lncRNA from 10 species